rnacentral:SRP_RNA from 1 species
GCUGGGCAUGGUGGCGCGUGCCUGUAAUCCCAGCUACUCGGGAGGCUGAGGCAGGAGAAUUGCCUGAACCCAGAAGGCAGAGGUUGUGCUGAGCCGAGAUGGCGCCAUUGCACUCCAGCCUGGGUAACAAGAGUGAAACUCUGUCUCAAAAAAAAAAAAACAAACACAGAUUUUCUUUUUUAGGUGCCAGGCUGGAGUGCAGUGGCGCAAUCUUGGCUCACUGCAAUCUCCGCCUCCUGGGUUCAAGCAGUUCUCCUGCCUCAG